UUCUAAGGCACAUAAAUGUGUAUUUAGCCA
rnacentral:piRNA from 1 species